rnacentral:rRNA from 1 species
UNUGGUCUGUCACUGACGCUGAGGCUCGAAAGCGUGGGUAGCGAACAGGAUUAGAUACCCUGGUAGUNCACGCCGUAAACGAUGAGUGCUAGGUGUUAGGCCCUUUCCGGGGCUUAGUGCCGGAGCUAACGCAAUAAGCACUCCGCCUGGGGAGUACGACCGCAAGGUUGAAACUCAAAGGAAUUGACGGGGGCCCGCACAAGCGGUGGAGCAUGUGGUUUAAUUCGAAGCAACGCGAAGAACCUUACCAGGUCUUGACAUCCCGAUGCUAUUCUUAGAGAUAGGAAGUUACUUCGGUACAUCGGAGACAGGUGGUGCAUGGUUGUCGUCAGCUCGUGUCGUGAGAUGUUGGGUUAAGUCCCGCAACGAGCGCAACCCUUAUUGUUAGUUGCCAUCAUUAAGUUGGGCACUCUAGCGAGACUGCCGGUAAUAAACCGGAGGAAGGUGGGGAUGACGUCAAAUCAUCAUGCCCCUUAUGACCUGGGCUACACACGUGCUACAAUGGUCGGUACAACGAGUUGCGAGCCGGUGACGGCAAGCUAAUCUCUGAAAGCCGAUCUCAGUUCGGAUUGGAGGCUGCAACUCGCCUCCAUGAAGUCGGAAUCGCUAGUAAUCGCGGAUCAGCACGCCGCGGUGAAUACGUUCCCGGGCCUUGUACACACCGCCCGUCACACCACGAGAGUUUGUAACACCCGAAGUCGGUGAGGUAACCUUUUAGGG